AGAACGAACGCUGGCGGCAUGCCUAAUACAUGCAAGUCGAACGAACACUUCGGUGUUAGUGGCGCACGGGUGCGUAACGCGUGGGAAUCUGCCCUUGGGUUCGGAAUAACAGUUGGAAACGACUGCUAAUACCGGAUGAUAUCGAAAGAUCAAAGAUUUAUCGCCCAGGGAUGAGCCCGUGUAGGAUUAGCUAGUUGGUGAGGUAAAGGCUCACCAAGGCGACGAUCCUUAGCUGGUCUGAGAGGAUGAUCAGCCACCCUGGGACUGAGACACGGCCCAGACUCCUACGGGAGGCAGCAGUAGGGAAUAUUGGACAAGUGGGCGCGAAGCCUGACUCCAGCAAUGCCGCGUGAGUGAGUGAAGGUCCUUAGGGUUAGUAAAGUCCGUUCUUUUACCCGAGUAUAGAUAAUGACAGUAGUCGGAGAAUAACGCCCGACUAACCUCCGCGACCGAGCACGCCGGAGGUAACUCGUCGAGGUCCGGG
rnacentral:rRNA from 1 species